CAUCAUUGUUUAUUUAUAUAGCACUUUAAAAACACACAAGGCUGACCAAAGUGCUGAACAAUAGAAACAUAAUAGAUACAUCUAUAAGAAUUGCUAUCUUGUUUUGAAUUACCCUCGGCCUGCAGUAUAUGUGGGCACCUGUCAAAGGUCAUUUGGAUUUACUUUGCUUUGCUUUGAAAACAACAUGAAAAAAAUGAAUGCUUUGACCCAUGACUGAAUUUAUCCUUAUCCUUCCUAAAGGCUGUUAUAACCUUGCACUGCCAGUGGUGAGCUGCACCAGCUGUGACUUAAUGUGGUCCCCCUCAGUUAAGGACAUCCUGGGUAGUGGAUAUUGGCCUGGCACCUUAAAUUUCUGCACCCUGUUUUCAAUGGAUGCCUUUCAGUCUUUCUAUGACAUUAAGAAGGCUGCACCAGGGAUGUCACUUAAGGCAUUUGUCAAAAUGCUAGAUGAAAGAACAGCCCAUUUUUGAAGGGUGAGUUUCUAAAUUUGUCACGUUUAAGGAAAUUGUGCAAAUCAAUGUUUAUGAUGACUGUCCGUGAAUAUUCUGUUGUUUGUCCUCUACUUAAAAGACUGGCCGAAUAUCAGCUGAUGCCUUCAGUAAAAGCUUUGUGGAGUGGAGUGCUGUUUGAGAUGGACAGGAUGUGCAAGGAGCCAUGCAUUAGCUGCCCUGCCUGCACUCCAGACGUGCUUGCCGUCUCAGUUGAUGGAAACUGGAAGCUUUAUCGCAUUCAAUCAAAUACAAGCACUUCAGAGCAGGCGAACUUUGAAGGUGUCUUCAUUGAAAAAGAUGAGGAAGUUGCUGAGUUUAUGAAAUACAUCCAGAGACACACAAAUGAUGUAAGAGACUCAUAUAUAUAUAUAUAUUAGUGCUGUCAGCGUUAAUCUUGUUAAAAUGACGUUAACGCCAUAAACAUAUACACGUGUGUGUGUGUGUGUGUGUGUGUGUAUAAAUGCAUAUGGAUGGGUGUAUAUUCAUUUUAUUUUUCUCUUGGUGUUGUUAUAAUACUAUUUACUUUACUUUUUCUUAAUGUAUACUUAAUUUUAGCGUCCCAGGACAUAUUACUUUCCUUUGCUCCGAUGUGUCCUGUAAAUAUUUCCCAUAUUUAAUCAAGGUGGCUCAGCUGAGGAACCUCUUGUCAAUGCGUCCAUUUCUCUCCGUCAUGCAUGCAAAGGCUCUCAUUUGGAAAUGCGAGGUAUACUGCAGCUUGUAGUUUUGGAUUAGUUUGAGACAUUUUGUUAUAAGGUUGAAUGAAUUCAGCAGUCAUGUAUUGUGACCUCCUUUCUAUAGAUCAAAUGGGGAGGUGCGUUUCAGGAUGGGGCCGGUUCUACAGUUGGAAAAGAGGUGGGACAAGUAAACAGUUUCCUGUCUAGGGCGGCCAUUGAAGUACAAAAACAGGUAUGUGUCUGUGUGUGAGAUUCCACUCACUCAUUAAUUCUUAUUUUUAUACGAACUGAAAUGCAGGGCGAACAGACAUGCUGACCCUCCUGGCUUUGGGGUGGACCAAAAGGAAAGUGGAACAACUGGUUUGAGCCAGAGAUAUCUAAAGGUGAUUUUUUUUUUUCAACACCCAUUUAAAUGUGUGUGGUAAUGGGGGAAAAACACCUGUACUGUAAAAACAUCAAUGCGAAUGACAUUUAUUAAUGUAUUCUUAGAUCAUAAGGAUCCUUAGAGAACAAAUGGAGAGCCUGAAUAUGACCAGAAAUGAGCUGGGUGUGGAUGACGACACACUGCAGCAAUGGGUGGCCGAUGUGCAGAAAUGGGCUGAAGGUGAGUCUCAAUAUAACGCACUCGUGUAUAACAAUAGGACCCACCAUGGCCUCAUUAAAGAACUUAAGGUAGAGUUAAUAUCUUUCUGACAGUGUCAACAAACAAAGAAAAAUAAGCCUUGUAAAAGUGGAAUUUAUGGCAGAGUUUUUGCGUUUCAUCAAAUUGGAUUGAACCUGGGUUGAAAUGAUGUCGUACUAGUUGGUUUUAUAAACCUGAACACCGACAUACUUGUUAUCUAAUGAUAAUGCAGCACAUGAAGGCUACAGAUGUCUUAUAAUGAAUAUCAUCAAGUCAGUGAUUACAGAGUCCACUGUAGUUUGGUGACUGUUACUCAUCCUGUAUUCUGAUUAAUAUUCCUCUCACUUAGAAACUGAUCAAACUGAUGGCAGCCUUGGAGCGUUGCAGGCACGACUAGAGGAGCUUGUCGUCAUCAUCAGAGUGCGAACACAAAGUCUUUACAGACAAAAUGGUACGUCCCAGUUUCUUUGAAAUGGACCGUUUGAUACUUAGUUUGUACAGCUACUUUGUAAACAGAAUAAAAUCAGAUCCAGGUUUGUUUAAUCUGGAUGUGAUGCGUGUUCUAGCAAACAAAUUGAUGAGUGUAGAUUAAAAUGUAACUAUAUACAUUAUGUGAAGGUGUGAAUUUUUUAUGAUUAUUUACAGAUAGCAACAAGAGGCGACACAGAAUUCGCAAGGUCAUCUUAGAUGAGAAGAAACGCUUGGCGGCUGCUGUUGACGACUACAACAAGCUUGCUGAACCAACAAAGCAAAUCGUAUCCAGUGAUGCCCUCAUCCAGACCGACAUUUGGCUCUGGCAGAGCACAAGUGAACGUAAGCUCUUGAUUUAUAAAUAUCCUUUUUAAACAAAAUCCCAGUAUCUGAGCAGUAGUUGAAUGUUUUGUUCUUGAGUCAUAACGUGCUACUAUGUUUUCCCAUCUGAUGUUGUUAAACUGUAGCUGCUGCUGAACUCCAGACAAAGAGAGAGGUCUUUGAGAAGGUGAUGGCUGUGAGGCGCCUGAGAGAGGACGAGAUGAUCCUUUGCAGGGAGAUGCGGCAUCACUGGACAGUGUUGCAAAUGCGAUCUGUGGUGUUGGGGACAAUCUCCUCAGACUGUAAGCACAUCUUUUAUUUAUUAAUUAUUUGAUGAAUCAAUUGAAAAUAAGAGCAGAUGCUAAAGUCUUACUGGAUCUUUUACCUAUAUCUAGAUUGCUAGCUAACACUGCCUUCUCCCUUUAAAAAAAACUGUUUAAUUACAGGAUCAUAAUUCCUUGUGUUUAUGAGGUGAGGGUUUUUUUGUUUGUUUUUUUUACUUCACUCAUAUUUAUUUGUUUUGUUCUUUUUACAGCCUCCUUUGUUGGCAUGUCGGAGGAUGCACAGAAGGGACUCCGUAGCCUGGUUUAAAAAAACAAAGUGAACUGAAAGCUGAAAUGCUCAAAAUAAAGGACACGUACAAGAGAAUCCUCAGCCACCAACCACUCCUGGAAAUGGACUCGGAGGAGGAGGAGGACAUUCCAGACGAUGCCACUGAGAGUGAUUUGAGCACUUCUGAUGAAGACUGAUUGUGUCAUCAUUGAUGUUAUUUUUGGUAAAAUAAAAAGUUAAUCACAUCUCUGUUUAAUGUGAUUUUUCAACAGACAUUUUACAUUUUGAGAAGAAAAAUGGAAUUUCCUUGGUGCAGUUGUUUACCCAUAAUCAUGCUUUCCCAUGUAAUUUAAUGACUAGUGUAAAUGUUCAGAUAGACUAACAUAAUUUAAUUCAUGGAAUGUUUUCUGUGCUGCUCAAAUUACCACAGAAUUUAAAAGCACCAGGCAGCAAACUCACAAGGAAAUUUUUGUUCAGUGUUUUGUCGAAGAAAUCAACAAGUACAAUUGAGAUGUUUGCUGUAGUGGUGUGUUUGUUAAGAAGCAUGCCAGCACACUGGUGAACUGACAGUCCCAGAAUGCACCCGAGCCACUGACUCGCACAAGAGCAAAUGAAACUGCUUAUCUAGGAAGACAACCGUCAUCAAAGAAUAAGUAAAAGAAUAGGAAACUAACGGUAAGGGAAGGUACUGUGCAGUAGGAAAGAAAGGCCAGAGCCGUGCAAAAUGACCUCCAGCAGGCCACAAAUGUGCUCGUCUGCUCAAACGGUCAGGAACGGACUCCAUGAGAGCCCGACAUCCACAGGUGAGGGUUUUGCUUGCAGCCCAACACCGUGCAGGAUGUUUGGCAUUUGCCAGAGAACACAAA
rnacentral:lncRNA from 1 species